rnacentral:rRNA from 1 species
UACGAAGGGGGCUAGCGUUGUUCGGAAUUACUGGGCGUAAAGCGCGCGCAGGCGGCUAUCCAAGUCAGUGGUGAAAGCCCGGAGCUCAACUCCGGAAUUGCCAUUGAAACUGUUUAGCUCGAGUACGAGAGAGGUGAGUGGAAUUCCCAGUGUAGAGGUGAAAUUCGUAGAUAUUGGGAAGAACACCGGUGGCGAAGGCGGCUCACUGGCUCGUAACUGACGCUCAAGCGCGACAGCGUGGGGAUCAAACAGG